AACGAACGCUGGCGGCAGGCUUAACACAUGCAAGUCGAACGCAUCCUUCGGGGUGAGUGGCAGACGGGUGAGUAACGCGUGGGAACGUGCCCUUCAGUUCGCGAUAACCCAGGGAAACUUGGGCUAAUACCGGAUACGUGCGAGAGCAGAAAGAUUUAUCGCUGAAGGAUCGGCCCGCGUCUGAUUAGCUAGUUGGUGGGGUAAUGGCCCACCAAGGCGACGAUCAGUAGCUGGUCUGAGAGGAUGAUCAGCCACAUUGGGACUGAGACACGGCCCAAACUCCUACGGGAGGCAGCAGUGGGGAAUAUUGGACAAUGGGCGCAAGCCCGAUCCAGCCAUGCCGCGUGAGUGAUGAAGGCCUUAGGGUUGUAAAGCUCUUUCGUCCGGGACGAUAAUGACGGUACCGGAAGUAGAAGCCCCGGCUAACUUCGUGCCAGCCGCCGCAGUAA
rnacentral:rRNA from 1 species